UCCCUGGAGGUCUAGUGGUUAGGCCACAGCGCGCUCACCACUGUGGCCCAGGUUCAAUUCCCAGCCAGGGAA